CCUACGGGAGGCAGCAGUGGGGAAUAUCGCACAAUGGGCGCAAGCCUGAUGCAGCCAUGCCGCGUGUGUGAAGAAGGCCUUCGGGUUGUAAAGCACUUUCAGCGGGGAGGAAGGCGGUGAGGUUAAUAACCUCAUCGAUUGACGUUACCCGCAGAAGAAGCACCGGCUAACUCCGUGCCAGCAGCCGCGGUAAUACGGAGGGUGCAAGCGUUAAUCGGAAUUACUGGGCGUAAAGCGCACGCAGGCGGUCUGUCAAGUCGGAUGUGAAAUCCCCGGGCUCAACCUGGGAACUGCAUUCGAAACUGGCAGGCUAGAGUCUUGUAGAGGGGGGUAGAAUGCCAGGUGUAGCGGUGAAAUGCGUAGAGAUCUGGAGGAAUACCGGUGGCGAAGGCGGCCCCCUGGACAAAGACUGACGCUCAGGUGCGAAAGCGUGGGGAGCAAACAGGAUUAGAUACCCUAGUAGUC
rnacentral:rRNA from 1 species